GAGUUGGCUUCAUUUCAUUCCAGUGACUCUAAAUAGGUCCAAGAACUCACUAAAUAGGAAUCAAAGGCGAGUGAAAGGUAAAGCUUCUCUCCAAACAUUUAUCGCCUGCAAUUCCAACCAGAGCCAGGUGUAUCUCUCCUCUUGCUUUAUCUCUACAAUGUUCUAUCCCAAUUUCUCUCAGACAGUAAGGAUUUUGGUUUGCUUUCUUGGAUUAGAUUUAUACAUAUUCCAUUGCAUCUCAGUUUUCUCUGAUUUAAUAGCAUAAUCUGGCUUUUGGUAUUCUAACUUUGCUUUCUUUGCAUCAAAUUGUAUUUGGCUCUUGGUUUUCUUGAUCUAAUUUUUUUAUUUCUAUAAUUAGAUAAAUUAAGGAAAAUUUUUCUAUUAGUAUAUGAGUAUUCGAUUCUGAUAUAUCAUUUUCCUCCAUUUGACAUGAUUUUGGAUUAUUAGGACUCAGGCUUGCCUUCCGCGUUUUCGUUGAAAAAAGGCUUUUAGCUGAGUAAUAUACUAAUUUGGUUUUGAUUAUCAGCUAUAUAAGAGAAUUGGGGGGGGGGGUUUAAUUUUUAAUUAUUUUGAUGCGGCGAAAUUUUUUAGAUUUUACAGAUUUUUCCAGUUCAGGAUGAUAAAAAUUUAGGGCUUUGAUUUGUUGAUGUGAUUUCCACGUACUCUGAAAUCAAAAAGAAAUGCAAGGAUAUAUUAGACUUAUACUGUUUUCAGGCAUUCGCGUGUUUGCUUGUUAUAGAUGAUGUAUUUUUGUAGUGCACUAAUAUUUGUUUAAAAAAAUAUUAAUUAGAUUUUUCUCCCUAGUGUUUGCUAAGGCGCUUCUCGAGACGGCAUUGGAACGUGCAGGGUGAUGAGGAUUCAGGGGAUGAGGAGGAAAAUGGCAAAGGAGGAGGACCAAACGCGCUCUCUGUUAGGAUAAUUGGUGCCCUAAAUGCCAAAAAGUCUGCACUCACCACUCAUUAAUUAUAUGGUGAAAGUUUUUAUGCAACCUCAUUACUUGCAAAAUUUUGUUCAGUCAACAUUCAAUGCCCUGCCAUCAGAUCAAGUUAAGGGUUAUUCUCAAUCCUCAGAUAGUGAUUAUUUAACGACUUCUCCAAACUUGGCUACUCAGCUUUUCAAAUACAAAGCUGCGGAUGAAAGAGGAGCCAGAUGAGCUAAAAUCGGGGGCAAGAUUUGUGUGAACUGCAUGUUGCUUCUGUUUAUUAGGGAAACAAAACGUUUCAGUUUUGUCCUGUUAAUUGUACAAUGUCUGUUCAUGUCAGCUAAGUUGAAUGUAUAUAAAAACGAAGCUGCAUAUCUUAUCGACUCCGUUCACUCAUCUAUCCCUAUGUUUAGUCAUGAUUGUGUUGAA